rnacentral:misc_RNA from 1 species
GUGAAUCAUCGAAUUUUUGAACGCAAAUUGCACUUUCUGGUAUUCCGGAAAGUAUGCCUGUUUGAGGGUCAGUUAAAUAAAAAUCGGUGUUGUUGCUGCUUUUCGUGGUGACGCGUCGGAAUUGGGUUGUCUUACCUUUGGUUAAGGGACUUAAAAUUUUGCAUGAUUUUCGAACGAAUUUAAUUUUCUUACUUAAGUUUGGUUUGUGAAAUA